GCUGCCGAGCCCCUGGGCACGGACAGACGGGCCCACACUGGUCAACAAGCGGCUGGCGGCCUCAUAGACCUGCAGCACAUUGCUAGUAGUUGUGACGCGCUGUGGCUGCGGCUGACGAUAGUCAAAAUCGCCGUUUGUUUUGUUCAAUCACAGCAAUUUUAGCCUGAAGACAUGUCGACUGUGCGCCUGUUCAGCGCGGCGACCCUCCGGCGCCAUUACGCCCUGCUGCCUCUGGUCGGCAUGCUGGCCGCGGCCGUGACCGGUGCCGUGGCCUUCUCCGUGCGGACGGCGGUCAGGGCGCCGGAGGCGGCGUACCGCAGGUCCGACGCUGCGCCAUGGGAGAGCUACCGCCAUCGGAGCUACAAACUAUACAACCCCAGCGGCCUGCGUCGUGACCAGUGCCCGGCGCCAAGGUUUUGAAAGCUCACGUGCGGCGCCGUCGCCGCGUGGUGGUCGCCGAGGGCGACCAGCGUCUCGGCGGGAAUCGACGCCGGCGUGAUUGUCUUCGCCCAUCGUCCGUUGCGA